UACGGGGGGGGUAAGCGUUGUUCGGAAUUACUGGGCGUAAAGGGCUCGUAGGCGGCCAACUAAGUCGGACGUGAAAUCCCUCGGCUUAACCGGGGAACUGCGUCUGAUACUGGAUGGCUAGAGGUUGGGAGAGGGAUGCGGAAUUCCAGGUGUAGCGGUGAAAUGCGUAGAUAUCUGGAGGAACACCGGUGGCGAAGGCGGCAUCCUGGACCAAUUCUGACGCUGAGGAGCGAAAGCCAGGGGAGCAAACGGG
rnacentral:rRNA from 1 species